UUUGGCCAUAGCCUCAUAUUGGGAAGAUCACAUAUUCCCAAUGUAAGGCUGACCAGUGUGGGCUGCUACUGAUAAGAAUCCCUGGAGGAAAAGGGAAACUAAUGUAGGGGAGAAAGAUGAGGACAAAUUGUUGCUUGGUAAGUUACUGACAGAAUGGAAAUAAUAAUGGAAUGGGGUUGCAAGGUGAAUGUCAGUUAAUGCGAUCUUACGAAUUCUUAAAGAUGUUGGACUGAGUAGCACCUAAGGUUGUUCUGUAUGUGGCUGACAGACAUUGAAUGUUUAAGCUGGGAGAUGCUCAGCAGUGAACUGCUGAGAAAUGUCAACUCAGAUUAAAUCAGAGUAAACAAGCUUGCUCAUUCUGCCUGAAAGUGGGGAAUGAGAUAGAAAGCUAAGGCUGGGUCUAUACAAGAUGAAACUCCCAGGGUUAUAAAUGUAGGCAUUUCUCCUGACAAGUUCUUCUUACUGAGUUUGUGGUUAGAUGUAAGUUAUAAUAAAUAAAGUGAUUCUGGCAGUGGACGCUGGGAUGACUUCAUGAUCCAACGGUCAUGCAGACUAAAGGAUUCCUGUUCUUGGCAGCUGCUGCUGCUUUCAUUGUCCUGAGUCAUGCCAGGCAACUGCUGGAAGUAGAGUGCUGCACAGGAGUUAGAACCUUACAAAAAACGUAAAAUGUAACUUUUUGGUCAUACAAAUGAAUAGCAACAGCUUACCGUCAAUCCAUUUUGCAUUGUUUUCAUACUACAAAUUAUUAGGGAUAAAUUUUAGUUUUAUUCUGCUGUUAGGUAGCCAGGCUGCUUAUGAGUAGAGAUGAUUUUCAGAUAACUCGUCAUCAAAUUAAUCUAUCCAACAGAAAACACAAACUGCGAUAAUGGUGCAGUGUUGCAAUCGUAGAUGCAGGAAGGAAGACCUACAAGGUGAUUAGGAUCUCAGUAGGUCAAGCCAUGAGACUGAAAGGCUGCCAGGCUGCCUGAGAACAGGGCCACUGGUGAGUGCCUGCCCAUGAAGGGCUGUUCCUAUCCACGGCUCUUGUUUGCCCCCCCCCCGGGAGGGGAAGGUUGAUUUGGAGGCUGCCUCAUGGCCGAGCCUGCAGUGCAUUCACAGCACAGAUCUUUAAAGCGAAGUGUUUCAAGGUCGAGCGGGCUUGUGGCCUCUUAUAUGCUGAAAACAGCUCUUACGCUGCUCAACUGGCCAAAGUGUAAAACAGUACCUUCUAAAUAUGUGGGUGAGGAUUAGUUAAGUGGGGGGGAAAUAUGAGGUAUGUUUGCUUCUGUCCUCUCUUUGCAGCUUUCUGGUAACUUAAAGAGCUACUGUAGGCGGUAAGUAUAGUUAUACUGCAGCAACUGAGGGCUGAGAGUUGUAAAGACUCCACAAACACCAUGUGUAAGGUAGUUUUUUAACACUUAGUUGUGGAUUUUGCCCAUGCCCUUGCAGCUUUGCUAGUCCUUGUGUUUUUUUUUUUUUUUUUUCCCCCAGAGAUUUUCCAGAGAAGUAAUUUGUCAUUAUCUGAUGAGCCACUGCAACUUAAAAACAUAGGAGACAUUUUUUUUUCUAUGCUAACAUGAGAAAUACUGUCAAAUACUUAGCUAGUUUUAAGAAUAAAUAACCAAGGGAGUAAACUUAAAUUGUUACCACAAGGCAAGUAUUUUUGUGUGACUGGAUACGUGAAAUGUUGGUUUGCCUUUUUUAAACUAGUGAUGUCUGAUACCUGUGGUUUUGUAAAAGAUGUCUUAGCAAAGAAAACUAUGAAUAGACUUCAAAGCUGACAUGGGUAUGCUGUAGAUGUGUAAGGUUGAGAACUGAUAGGAGGUUUUGAAAUGUUGGUGUUUCUGUUAUGUCAGUUAUGGGAGUGCUGAAGUACUGACUGUGCUUGUUAGUGCCUUUCAGAUGGUGUUGUUUUUUUCUUUAGGUGUUAACCUUUAACAAAGUUAACUUUGUUAACAUUUUCCUCACAGAAGGCUUGGCUGAAAGUGUGUUAGGAUGUAAAUAAAUGUGAUUAGGUAAAACAAACUUGAGUCUGCCUUAUGCUGUGUUGUUUUUUUCUUUCUCCAAGUCAAACGGGUACUUUUAAAGAACUUUAGUUUUAAGCAAGUAUUGGAAAAUUGUAGGCCUGUAGUUUAAACAAAAGUAUUUAAAGAAUGACCUCAAGGACAGCGAAGCGCUUAUCUUCAAGGAAAACUUUAGGUUCAGUUUGAUUGUGUGUAGCAGAUGGUUCGUGAGUGACCACUGGCUGAAAAUCAUGAUAGAAAUAAUCACAUUUGCUUUUAAUGGUGUGUUGCUGUGCAUGUUCCCACUAUGGUAGAAAUCCAGUUGAUGCUGUUCAUUUAAUAUUUUAAGUGAGGUUGUAGCCUGCUAAAAUCAGAUAUGAUGCAGUUACUGUUAUCUGUAGAGUAGUGCUGUUAGCCAAAACUUGAUGUCAACGCCUGCCUUCUCUUGGCCUUUGGCAGUAUGUGGUAUGAGCAUACCCCCCUUUAUUAUGAAAAUAAUUUAAUAGAUUAAAAGACAAAUUCCUAGACUGGUUGCAUGUUGCUGUUUUUUUUUUUUUUUUGUGUGUGUGUUGCUUCAACAUCCAAUUGCUGAAAGAGGUAGCUGCACUCAAAAAGGCAGUUAUGAAGUUGUCAUGGAAUUAAGAAAACUAUGAAAGAGAAACACCAUUGCCUUGUCCAAUAAGCAUAAGCUUUGAAGGGCUGGAAAUCAAAGAUUUUUGUAAUGCAAACUGAUUUUAUUUUUUGAAGUUGCAUGUUUUCAAUCUUGCCAGCAAAUGUUUGGACUGCUAAUGAAAAUGUUUCAGACUUGUAAUUCAGCUCUAUUGCUGUUAAAUGGUAGAAUACUUCUAUGAGAAGUUGUUGAAAGCUGGCUCUCGGAAUACUCAAUAUCCUUAUAACAGCAAACUCAAUAGUGCACUAUUGCUUCAAUGUGUAGUCUGACUACUAACAGGCAUGCUUGUGUACACAUUGUAGACCUCAAAAGGAAUUCAAAUGCCUACAGGACAGGCCAUGUUAUUCAUUAAACAGACUCUGCUUUCUGUACUGCAACACUUUUGUUGUAAUAGAAAAGCUUUUCUGGAUAGUACAGUAAUGGCAGGAGUCUUCUCUUAACCUAUCUGUUCACUCUGUACCAGAUGUUAUUUGGAAGUAAAGCUUGCAGAAUUAACUUCACGUUGCUCUUACAUGCUUAGAAUUUGGAGUAUUUUGUAUAUUUGCUUGAACCUGUUCAGGACCGUUUUGCUCCAUGGAUCUGCUGCUCCUGCUUAAAAGUGACAUCUUUUUUUACUAAUUGUACAUUUAACAUCUACUUAAUUCUUACAAUCCUGUAUAUACAGCAACAGAAUUUUUUUAAGCUUCAGUCACCAAACUGCUAAAUGUAGGUUGAGCUGCUACUUCUGUAGUGUUUAGAUUUCUAGUCAGCGAAUGAAAGAUCUGUGAAGAAAUAAAGAAUCUUAGCUAGAUUCUUCCUAACCUUAAGUGGAGAGAGCUUUAAAAACUAAGAUUGCAUGCAUUAGGGGCCACUAGACUCAUGACAGGAAAUUUGUUGUAAAGUAUUUAAGCUUCCUUGAACCUUCCUUUUAGGGGAGGUGAGGUUGAAACAAAAUAUUAGAUUGUUACCAUUUGAGUACUACAGAUAUUUACAUAAGAUCCCUAAAAGGAAACAAAGGAUGAGAACCAUUGUAGUAGUCUUUUCUGCUGCCUCAUAGCCCACCUCUGUUUUCUCCUCUGUACUCUUUCCACAUGACAUCAUGGUUACUCAGCCUCUGUCCGAGAAGCAGGUUUAAUAAAGUUAAAUAUAACUUAAUUCAAUAAAAGUGCAUUGUUUGUGCCAUGUGAACUGCUGUCCCACAAUUGUACACUAAUCACAAAAGUAGUAAAGGAGGUUUAUGUGCUAUAGUAAGACUGCAACCUAUGUUGAGGUCAGGCUUUGGUGUGAGAGGGAGACUGACACAUAGUUGAAAGAAGUAAUAGUCCUGUGAGGAGCAGAUGUAGAUAAUGUGCCAAAAUAAUAUCUUCAUAAUACUUAGUAACAAAUGCAUUUCUGUACUUUGUGAAGGCUUAAUAUUUAUUAUUCAAUAUGAAGAUACGGUAGGCACUUGUGGUGUAUGUUUGAAUUCGCUGAAUCAUCUCAGGUACUAAUGUACCUCAAGUAUUAGAGGGUCCUGUUCGCAGUAUUUCGAGUUCUGUGGUGUGAGAUACAUGCAAUAAAUCCAGGCCUCACUUCAAACAAGGAGGAAAAAAGUUCAACCAACAGCCUUGGUAGAAUAUGGUCAAAAAAGGUGGGAGCCAGAGUAAAAACACUGUUAUGGCAAAUGGGUGGGAUUGAUUGUAAGCUAUGUAUAAUGGAACAGACAUAAAAAUAGGAAGAAGAUGGAGCACAAAAGACUGCUUCUCUGCUUAAAUUGAGCAGUGUACAAUAGCAAGGACACAGCUUAGUGCCCAUCUUCCAGCAGAGUACCUAGAUGCUUAGUGCAAGACUGCUGCCAGGACUGGGCUGCUUGUGUUAGCUUUUCUGUUCCUUAAACUGAUUUUGCUUUACUUUGAAUCUGUUAACAAGGGCAAGUUCAAUAAACAGUAACGGAAAAUUGCAGAAAGCUAAGUCUAGGAGCUCUAUUUCCUGCCUAGUUUUAUGGAGGCUGAUUCACAUUCUUAGCCUGUGCUAUUGUUCUUAUUUCCUUGUGCUUAAUUUUUCAACCAUGUGGGAUAGUGAUGGUCCCUUCCACUUGCAGAACAUUUUUGAUUCCUUUAUUGCAUAAUACAGGUUACUUGCUACUUUCUCAUCCUGCAACUGACUUCACUUGAAGUUGUAUUCCCAAGCUGCUUGGACUGGGUUUGAACAUAACACAAAGGAUCUCCACCCUUGUCCACUGACCUUCAUAUUGUUGGACAUGAUAAUUGCCUCGUGCAUGCUAAAACUGCAUCUUUCAGACCUUGAGCAGAUUUGCGACCAUACUUGAACACAAGAUAACUGCUAUCUGCAAGUGGCAGGUAGAAAUCUCUCAGCUUAUUGCAGAAGUUGCAGCACAAAGGUACUCAGUGCACAAGAAAUUACAGCUACCUAACAGAGGUUCUUUAGAACUCUGUCCAGAGACAAUGUUCUUCCCUACAAACCCUGUAACGAUUAAUGGGAAGAAUAAGUUCCCUUUCCCGUGGCCAAUACCAGUUGUUUUCAUGAAGUCCAAAUGGGCCGAUGAGACUGCCUUUCCCAUUUAUAGUUCCUGGAUUCCUUUUUACUGUGUGCUGGCAUGAGACAGUACAAUGAUCAAAACUCACCCUUUUUAAAAGGAAUGGAAACUUUUAGUACUAAUCCUUUGCUAUAAGUUUUAUUCUUGUCACAUGCAUAAUUAUUUAAUGCAUUCGUUUCCUUAGUGGACCUUAACUGCUUGUAUUUUCCCCAACCAUCGCACUACUGUGGAGGUGACAGGAAACAGCCUAACGGCAACCUACUGUGCAGAUAAAAAUGUCUUAUCAUGUGUUUCUAAUGAUUUCACGUGUACCUAAAGAGAAUCAGUUUGAUUCUGAAAAUACUGUAGGAUGCAGUUUUUAGAAAAUACUACUGCAGCCAGGUAUUCUCAUCUUCACUUACCCCCCUACCAGUAAAGGUAAGCCUUAUCACAGUCAUCUACUUUGCUCCUAAAUCAAUUCAAGUACAGUCAAGAGGCAUCCAUACUGCGUUAUUCCACAUUUUAUUUAAGGUAAAUAUCAGAAAUCAUAUAUAGUAUACUGUUGCUUUUCUCAUGGAAUAUUUUACAACGACACUUUAGCAGUAAAUGUAGAUUACAAAGAAAUAAUGACUGGGUGUACAUUUAAAGCACCUAUACACAUGGUCCCCUUAAUUAUACAAGCUACAUAAAAUGUACUUUUUAGAAUAGCAUGCCACUUCCUUUGGAAAUCCCAUUUUAAACACAAAAGUCCAAGAAGAUAGUUCUAUAUAGAUUUGCUGCAUAAAGAAACAGACUAUGUAAAAAGAUGGUGAAAUCAACCAAGAUAGGUACAUAUAUGCUAGAUGACCCAUUUAAAAAUGACUAUUUUGUAACGAUGGUAAGUUUUGCAGAAGACCACCUAACUACAUUUUACAAUGAGAUGGUAGCCAGACAGGCCAAGCAAUGCCUUUCUGAAACCCUCAUCAAAUAGAGUUUCAUGGUUCAAAGAUCCUAGUCUAAAUAUAUUUUCAGAAAGAAUAUUUCAGCACUUGCAAAGAUAAUGGAAAUAACGUGGGUUUGAAUGCGUAAAUUUAGUUGUGUUGUUGUUCCUCCCCCCCACGUAUGAAUUAGAUUUAAAGUCAGGGCAGAGAGAGCUGUUGCGAUCUACUUCAUUAACUUAAUUGAUGUAACACUGCAGCUAGACAUGUAUUGCAUGAAACAUCUGAUAAAUUUGCAAUUUUAAGCUUUAAAACGUGCAAGUUUUUACUUUAAAAUUGCUGAAAUACCAAAGAGAAAGCUUUGCUGAUGGAUCCUUUUUAUUUAGCAUUUCAUAAUAAAUAUAUUACACAUUGCAAUAUUAAUAUAGACUUCAUUUAAUACUGUGAACAGUAAGGUUAGUCUGCAGAGUGAGUUCUCUAGCAAAGGACUCUAAGUAGAAAGGUUUAUAGCAAAAUUCAACCACUUUGGCCAAACAAUCAAAAAAUCCCUUUUGCUCAUAUUAAAUCAAAUGACUAGAGAUAGCUAACAUUUAGAUCUGAUUUCCUCCCACCCUGUAUAAGAGGCUUAUCUUUUGCACAUGCAUUGACUCCUAUGUCUCUGUACCUAUUCAGCCCAGACAUUUUAAAACUUAGUUUUCCUAAGACAGAAGGAAAACUUCUGAAGGUACAUUUUUGAUCAGAGCAGCUGGCUGUUUUAUCUGUAUCAGCAAAAAA